GAUGAACGCUGGCGGCGUGCCUAAUACAUGCAAGUCGAGCGAACGGACGAGAAGCUUGCUUUUCUGAUGUUAGCGGCGGACGGGUGAGUAACACGUGGAUAACCUACCUAUAAGACUGGGAUAACUUCGGGAAACCGGAGCUAAUACCGGAUCAUAUUUUGAACCGCAUGGUUCAAAAGUGAAAGACGGUCUUGCUGUCACUUAUAGAUGGAUCCGCGCUGCAUUAGCUAGUUGGUAAGGUAACGGCUUACCAAGGCAACGAUGCAUAGCCGACCUGAGAGGGUGAUCGGCCACACUGGAACUGAGACACGGUCCAGACUCCUACGGGAGGCAGCAGUAGGGAAUCUUCCGCAAAGGGCGAAAGCCUGACGGAGCAACGCCGCGUGAGUGAUGAAGGUCUUCGGAUCGUAAAACUCUGUUAUUAGGGAAGAACAUAUGUGUAAGUAACUGUGCACAUCUUGACGGUACCUAAUCAGAAAGCCACGGCUAACUACGUG
rnacentral:rRNA from 1 species